UGCCUGUACCAUAACCGACACAGGUGGGUAGGUAGAGUAUACUAAGGGGCGCGAGAUAACUCUCUCUAAGGAACUCGGCAAAAUGACUCCGUAACUUCGGGAGAAGGAGUGCCUUAUUUAUAAGGUUGCAAUAACAAGAUCCAAGCAACUGUUUAUCAAAAACACAGGUCUCCGCUAAGUCGUAAGACGAUGUAUGGGGGCUGACGCCUGCCCAGUGCCAGAAGGUUAAAGAAGUUGGUUAGUGUAUGCGAAGCUGAUGACUGAAGCCCUGUGAACGGCGGCCGUAACUAUAACGGUCCUAAGGUAGCGAAAUUCCUUGUCGGGUAAGUUCCGACCCGCACGAAAGGCGUAAUGAUUUGGAUACUGUCUCGGAGAGAGGCUCGGUGAAAUAGACUUGUCUGUGAAGAUGCGGACUACCUGCACCAGGACAGAAAGACCCUAUGAAGCUUUACUGUAACUUGAAAUUGGAAUUGGACUUUGCUUGCGCAGUAUAGGUGGGAAGCGUUGAAGAUAUUCUUGCGGGAGUAUUGGAGCUAUCAGUGAGAUACCACUCUUGUAAUGUUAGAUUUCUAACUUUGAACCAUAAUCUGGUCAAAGAACAGUUUCAGGUGGGCAGUUUGACUGGGGCGGUCGCCUCCCAAAUGGUAACGGAGGCGUACAAAGGUUUCCUCUGAACGGAUAGAAAUCGUAUCUAGAGUGUAAAGGCAUAAGGAAGCUUGACUGUGAGACCUACAAGUCGAGCAGGGACGAAAGUCGGUCUUAGUGAUCUGACGGUACUGAGUGGAAAGGCCGUCACUCAACGGAUAAAAGUUACUCUAAGGAUAACAGGCUGAUCUCCCCCAAGAGUUCACAUCGACGGGGAGGUUUGGCACCUCGAUGUCGGCUCAUCGCAUCCUGGGGCGGUAGUACGUCCCAAGGGUUGGGCUGUUCGCCCAUGAAAGCGGUACGCGAGCUGGGUUCAGAACGUCGUGAGACAGUUCGGUCCAUAUCCGGUGUAGGCGUUAGAAUAUUGAGAGGAGCCUUCUUUAGUACGAGAGGACCGAGAAGGACACACCGCUGGUGUACCAGUUAUCGUGCCAACGGUAAACGCUGGGUAGCUAUGUGUGGAGUGGAUAACCGCUGAAAGCAUCUAAGUGGGAAGCCCACCUCAAGAUGAGUAUUCUCAUCACUAUAAGUGAGUAAGGUCACGGUAAGACUAACCGUUUGAUAGGCAUUAAGUGUAAAUGUAGUAAUGCAUGUGCUGAGAUGUCCUAACAGACCGAGGAC
rnacentral:rRNA from 1 species